GACGAACGCUGGCGGCGUGCUUAACACAUGCAAGUAGAACGGUAAGGCCCUGCUUUUGUGGGGUGCUGGAGUGGCGAACGCGUGAGUAUCACGUGAGUAUCCUGCCCUUUGCUUUGGGAUAACUUCAGGAAACUCGAUAUAAUAUAGGAUAGGAGCACCUGCUGCACGGUGGGGGUUGUAAAGUUUCGCCGGUUGGGGAAGAAAUCGCGGCUUAUCAGCUUGUUGGUGGGGUAGUGGCUUACCAAGGCACUGACGGGUAGCCGCACUGAGAGGGUGACCGGCCACAGUGGGACUGAGAUACGGCCCAGACUCCUACGGGAGGCAGCAGUGCGGAAUAGUGCACGAUGGGCGGAGGCCUGAUGCAGCAUCGCCGCGUGGUGGAUGACGGUCUUCGGGUUGGAAAGCGCGUUCGCCUGUGACGAAGCGUGAGUGACGGUAAUGGGUAAAGAAGCACCGGCUAACUACGUG
rnacentral:rRNA from 1 species